rnacentral:rRNA from 1 species
UACGAAGGGGACUAGCGUUGUUCGGAAUCACUGGGCGUAAAGGGUGCGUAGGCGGGUCUUUAAGUCAGGGGUGAAAUCCUGGAGCUCAACUCCAGAACUGCCUUUGAUACUGAAGAUCUUGAGUUCGGGAGAGGUGAGUGGAACUGCGAGUGUAGAGGUGAAAUUCGUAGAUAUUCGCAAGAACACCAGUGGCGAAGGCGGUUCUCUGGGACGGUACUGACGCUGAGACGCGAAAGCGUGGGGAGCGAACAGG